rnacentral:rRNA from 1 species
CCAUGCCGCGUGUGUGAAGAAGGCCCUCGGGUUGUAAAGCACUUUCAGUGAGGAAGAAGGCUUGUCGGUUAAUACCCGGCAGGAAGGACAUCACUCACAGAAGAAGCCCCGGCUAACUCCGUGCCAGCAGCCGCGGUAAUACGGAGGGGGCAAGCGUUAAUCGGAAUUACUGGGCGUAAAGCGUGCGUAGGCGGCUUGGUAAGCCGGUUGUGAAAGCCCCGGGCUCAACCUGGGAAUGGCAUCCGGAACUGUCAGGCUAGAGUGCAGGAGAGGAAGGUAGAAUUCCCGGUGUAGCGGUGAAAUGCGUAGAGAUCGGGAGGAAUACCAGUGGCGAAGGCGGCCUUCUGGACUGACACUGACGCUGAGGUACGAAAGCGUGGGUAGCAAACAGGAUUAGAUACCCUGGUAGUCCACGCCGUAAACGAUGUCGACUAGCCGUUGGGGUCCUUGAGACCUUUGUGGCGCAGUUAACGCACUAAGUCGACCGCCUGGGGAGUACGGCCGCAAGGUUAAAACUCAAAUGAAUUGACGGGGGCCCGCACAAGCGGUGGAGCAUGUGGUUUAAUUCGAUGCAACGCGAAGAACCUUACCUACCCUUGACAUCGUGCGAACUUGGUAGAGAUACCUUGGUGCCUUCGGGAGCGCACAGACAGGUGCUGCAUGGCUGUCGUCAGCUCGUGUUGUGAAAUGUUGGGUUAAGUCCCGUAACGAGCGCAACCCUUAUCCUUAUUUGCCAGCGAUACGGUCGGGAACUCUAAGGAGACUGCCGGUGACAAACCGGAGGAAGGUGGGGACGACGUCAAGUCAUCAUGGCCCUUACGGGUAGGGCUACACACGUGCUACAAUGGCCGAUACAAUGGGUCGCAAAGCGGCGACGUGGCGCUAAUCCCAUAAAGUCGGUCUCAGUCCGGAUCGGAGUCUGCAACUCGACUCCGUGAAGUCGGAAUCGCUAGUAAUCGUGAAUCAGAAUGUCACGGUGAAUACGUUCCCGGGCCUUGUACACACCGCCCGUCACACCAUGGGAGUGGACUGCACCAGAAGUGGUUAGCCUAACUUCGGAGGGCGAUCACCACGGUGUGGUUCAUGACUGGGGUGAAGUCGUAACAAGGUAGCCGUAGGGGAACCUGCGGCUG